AUGGAAGGCUAUCUCGCAGGGUCUUUAAAUUUACAUAAAUGGGCGGCUGAUGCUGCUGAUGUCUUUUCUGAACAAGAGAGUGAUAAGGGUGACAAUGAUACCGUAUCUCUAAAAUCAUUAUUUAGGGAGUUAUAUGAAAUAUAUAAAGAUAAUCUCAAAUCAUUUUGGGAAGUACAGUCACUAGAACACUAUCUAAAAAACAAUAUUGUUCCAAAAGGGUUAAGGGUCAAUAUCUUACCUGCGGAGAGAUCACGAACUGAUAAUUUGUUAAAAAAGUGGGAACAAGAAGCUCUAGCAAGCUCCUUCCGUUUCAUGAAUAUCCUCUUGGAUGAGGAACGAAUCGCUCUUGAUAAUUCAAGUAAGCGUCUAAAAGAAUCUAUUGACGCUAUUUUGAGGUUCAAGACAGAUCCGGAAUUUACUCGUAGGGAAGCUGUAUUGGAGAGCCUAGUUGAUAAAUUCUAUACCUUAUUGAAAAAUCGUAAACAUAAACAGUUUAUACGUGAUCUCUCUGAAUUUCGUGAAAAAAGAGCUUUUGUCUUUCAGGAAAAGACAGUAGGGGAAUAUCCUCUAACGGAGGCAUCAACAUCGGAUCUAGAAUCAUCUGAUUCUGAAAGAAGGGGUGAUUUUGUACGGCCUUUUCCCUCUCCACAAGGUAGGCCUAAGACUGUGCGAGGCCAAAGAGGAGGGGGGGGGUGGGGGAUGGAGGGGCAGGAGGGGGGGAGGGAGAGGGAGAAGAGGGGGAGGGUAUGGUCCCUCUCGCUCUUCCUCGUCUGUUCCUUCCUCUUCCACUUCCUCUUCUUCUUUUUUAGAGGGGAGGGAAAUGACUUAUGGCCUUCGGGAGAGACCAUACCCACAAAGCCAGCAGAAAACCAAGUAAUUAAUCUAUCGAGUAGACAAUUAUCAGUUUCCGAGGUCUCAGUCCUUUCUAAAGGCUUAGGAUUUGUCCCAGUCACACAAUUUAAGGCCUUUAACUGGGUUAAGGAUAUAAAUCUGUUUAUAAGAAAACUCAAAUGGAGAAAAUUCUUUAAGACUAGUGACCGGGAAACUAGCCAACAAUUGGGAAUUGCUGAUGAGGAUUUACCCCAUGUUAGAACGAUGACAAGUCUCUUGAGUGAAAAUGAUAGGGUUAUGGGUCAAGGACCAUUCACUAAUUUGAGGUGCAAAAGCACGAAAAUGCCCCCCCCUAUAGAAUCAUCUAAUUUGGAUGUAUUCCUUGAUAUGGUAACUAGAGAAAUUGAAAGAAUACCCUCAUGGAAUGAACAAAUUCCCUCUAACCUAUCGGAUAGAGAGUUGACGGCUUUAAAACAACUGGAGCGUGAUUCUAGGAUUACAAUUAAACCAUCGGAUAAAGGUGGGAAUCUGGUGGUCAUGGACACAUGUGGUUAUAAGGAAAUGACACUAACACUAUUGCAGGAUCGUGAAUCCUAUCGGAUUAUUGGAAGAGAUCCUACUAACUCCUUUAAGGAAGAACUUGAGAAACUCCUUAUUAGGGGUCUAGAUGACCAUCUGAUUUCUGAUCAAGAAUGUAAGUACAUGUGUCCGGUUGACCCCCAGAUUCCCACUUUUUAUGCGCUUCCAAAAAUACAUAAAGGGGUUAUGCCCCUGAAGGGGCGACCCAUAGUCUCAGGAGUAAAUUCAAUUACUCAAAAACUAGGUAUAUACCUAGAUCAGAUAUUGAGAGAAUUUGUGUCCUCUUUACCAUCAUAUAUAAGAGACACUAGUGACCUUCUACAAAAAAUUGAUGGUAUACAACUUGACUCAGACAUGCUUCUAGCAUCGAUAGAUGUAGAGGCCCUCUACAGUUCCAUUCGACAUGUAGAUGGACUGAGGGCUGUCUCGUACUAUCUACAAACUAGGGGCAUUCACUUCCGGACCCAUAGCGAAUAUGUCAUCCAACUAUUGGAAUUUCUUCUAACCCAUAAUUAUUUUAUUUUUGAUUCUCGGUACUACCACCAGCUCAGGGGUACAGCCAUGGGGAGCCCAGUGGCUCCCUCGUAUGCAAACCUUACCCUGGGCUGGUGGGAGAGUACCAUAGUUUUUGGGGAGGAGGAUAGUAAGUGGAACCCACAUUUAAUUUAUUGGGGUAGAUAUAUUGAUGACGUGUUCGUAGUAUGGUCCGGAAGUGAAAACCUAUUUAAGGAAUUUGUAGAGGGUUUAAAUCACAACCCCCUUGGUCUUAAGUUUACGUUCGAGAUUGACAGGGACGAAUUACCAUUUCUGGAUGUACUAAUUAGAAGAGGAGAGAAUGGUUUGUUGGAGACAAGUACCUUUAGGAAACCUACAUCGACGAACAGCCUACUUAGAUGGGACAGUUUCCAUCCUAUACCCCUUAAAAAAGGUAUCCCCACUGGACAAUUCCUGCGGAUACGUAGGAACUGUUCGUCGAUGGAAGGUUUCAACAAUCAGGCAAGGGAUCUGAGGGAUAGGUUCGUUGAACGGGGCUACCCCUCGGAUGUGUUGUUUACAUCCUUCAAUAGGGCCUUAACAUCAGAACGUAAAGAGUUGCUAACCCCGAAAAAUAGGACCAUUGAGGACAAUUCUGUUAGAUUAAUUGGUACCUAUGAUAACCAAUCAGAAAGGGUAAAGAAUAUACUGAAAAGGUAUUGGCCUCUUUUACGAAGUGAUCAAGAUCUUAACGAUAUUGUUUCUCCUUACCCCAUGAUUACAUUUCGCAGGGGUAGGUCUAUAAGGGAUAGGUUGGUACAUAGUCACUUUGUGGAACCAACCAGGCAAGGGACUUGGCUGGAUAGGAAACCACUUGGUACCUUUCGUUGUGGCCGAUGCAGGGCAUGUAGCAACAUCCAGCAAAGUAAGUCCUUCACUAGUGUAGUGACUGGAAGAGAAUACAUCAUCAGAGAUUUUGCCAAUUGUGAUACUGAAGGGGUGAUAUAUGUAGGGACCUGCACAUGCCCCCUCCAGUACAUAGGCAAAACUAAGAGGUCCUUUAAGAAAAGGAUCAGAGAACAUGUUUGUGACAUUCAAAAUCGAAGAGACACUCCGGUGUCACUACACAUGUGGGCAAAGCAUGGUGGUGACACUAAAUGUAUCUCCUUUUGUGCUAUGGAAGUAAUUCGGAAAUCCCCUAGGGGAGGAGAAUGGGACAGACGCAUCCUACAAAAAGAAUCCGAAUGGAUCUUUAGGAUGCGAUCUGUAUCACCAUUUGGCCUAAACGAACGUUUAACUUAUAGCUGCUUUUUGUAGCUAUUUACAGCAUUGUCACUCCUUAUUAACUCUCAUUGCAAUUUAUCUAACUUUUGUCUUGGAGGAGAUCCCGAUUGGUACGGGAUGCCUUCCUUGCUUACCGUUUAUAUUUGAAAAAAAUCACUAUCAUUUAGUAAAGACAUUACCCAUAAUAUCAUAAUCACUUUGUUUUUGGUGAGAAAAUACAGAAUGGACUUAAAAACUAUAUGAAACUGCGAGAAAUGCCCCUAACUUCAUUGGCUCGGUUGAGCAGUUAGUUUUUAAAAGUUAUUAUACUAUUUAUGUAGUCACAAUUGACACAUAAUAUGGAUGUAUCAUUUGUUCUCAAAUAUUUAUGAUUCCCUGUAAUUGUGUAAUAAGAUAUGUAGUCUUUAUUUUGUUAUACAAUGAUCUAGAUUUAUAUUGGUACUCUUUUUCUUUUUUGUUUAUCUAUACAUACGGUACUUUAUUUAAGUUCUCCUGUGCUGCUAUUUAGCACUAUCUUUCUUUCCAGCCUUCUUUUCAAUUUCCCUCCCACCCCUAUCUUCACUAAACUAUCCUGGACGUGCAGUGCAGUGAUGGCCGUAAGGGUCACGUGAUUUAUCAUCACGUGAUCCGAUUUGGUUGCGGCGUCCUCGGAGUUGUUAUCACAUGACCUAGUAUCAUGUGACCCAAUCUGGUUACGGCGUCCUUGGAGACGCUAUCGCGUGAUACGCGGCUACCGGAAGUGACGCAUUUGGCGUCCCGGAUAUGCGCGCGAGUGUGGAGGUUUAUAAGACAGAGGCUGGGAUACAUCUAGCCAUCUGCGACGUGGAUCGCCAGUCGCAGACGGACGUAUCAUGCCUAUGGCAUUUUGACAUGGGGGUAAGCAGUGGACUGAGCAUUAAUUAUUGUGGUGUUAGGAAGUAGGUUAAUCAGUUUAGUUAUUUAUUGCAGUAACUACACAUGGAUAAUGGCUGGACAUCAUAGGUACUGUACUGUGGUUUUGUGGACAUCAUAGAGGUUUCGUUACCUAGGUGGCAUUAUUAUCUGAAUUCUUUACGUAAUAAACUGGAGGGUCAACCAGGUUCUUGGUGAUUGGACAAUUUCGGUCUGGAGUUAUCUGUAGUAAGGAAGCAACUAUUUUCAGGUCUUUAAUCCAGGUAUAGGCUUUACUACUAAUGAGGUGGUCCAUAUAUAUAUAUGGUAGACUUGGUAUGGCUUUAUCAUGAUUAUUAUUAUUUGCCAUUUUUAGGGGGCCAUUGACUAAGCCUAUUUCCCCCUUUUUCUAUGGAGGAGCCCUUAUCGUAGGGUCCUCACUUUAUCAGUGACUUUAUCAGUGAUUUCGUCCUUGGCUACUUAGAGGUAAUGACAUAUAUAUAUAUGUCUUUAUGUUUUUUCUUUGGGAGCCUUUUUGAGACCACGUUUGGUGUAAAUUAAGGACUUUCAUCUACCUUAUUAUUUUUCCUCUUUUUUGGCACCUGGUUUGUCAUUAAUAGGUACCUAUCUGUUUUCUUCCUUACUCAUCUUCGUUAUCAUCUUCAACACAUCCAUUAUCUACACUAUAAUCUUGACACUUUUUCAUGUCUCAAUAUCUUUUGGCAUGUGAUGUGAUUAUAUUUAUUAUUCUUGCUUUUAUAUGUAGAAUGGAAUAUUUGUGUACUAAAGCUAAUGCUAUGUUUUAUGUGGUAUGUGUGUCUUCUUUCUUUCUAUUCUUCUUUGUUUGUUCUCCCCCCUUUUUUUGCUUCCCGCUACAGGUUGCUACAUCAGUCGGAGGAUAUUCAAAUGAAGCCACAAAUAAGCCUUGCCAUUUUCUAUCUGCAUUUACGUGCUUUGUAUUACAUAUGUGCCUGCUUUGAUGUAUUAUAAUAUAUGUAUAGUUCUAAUUGUCCUUUUAUCCAUUGUACAUUAAGCUAUGCCUCUGUCCAUGUGUUGUACGUUAUCUAUACAUAUUGUCCCUCCAUAUCUCGGUGCUUAUUAGGUAUAUAUGUGUAUACUGUUGUUGCCAUCCCCUGAUGAACCGUUGUAUAUCAUAAGAUACACGGGGAAACGCGUUGGGAUAUACGGUUGUUCAUCAUAGGAGAGCUUAUUCUCUUUUUUAUGUAUUGAUACGAAUUAUUUGCAUUAUUGUUAUUGGGUUUUUUACGAGGAUCAAAUAAAAUUGUGAAUUUUUAGCUACAUGGUUUAAUGUUAUUCUGGUAGAAAAUAGCUAUAG